UACGUAGGGUGCGAGCGUUAAUCGGAAUUACUGGGCGUAAAGCGUGCGCAGGCGGUAAGUUAAGUCUGUUGUGAAAGCCCCGGGCUCAACCUGGGAAUGGCAUUGGAAACUGGCUUGCUAGAGUGUGGCAGAGGGGGGUGGAAUUCCGCGUGUAGCAGUGAAAUGCGUAGAGAUGCGGAGGAACACCGAUGGCGAAGGCAGCCCCCUGGGCUGACACUGACGCUCAGGCACGAAAGCGUGGGGAGCAAACAGG
rnacentral:rRNA from 1 species